rnacentral:rRNA from 1 species
AACGAACGCUGGCGGCAUGCCUAACACAUGCAAGUCGAACGAGACCUUCGGGUCUAUUGGCGCACGGGUGCGUAACGCGUGGGAACCUUCCCUUAGGUUCGGAAUAACUCCCCGAAAGGGGUGCUAAUACCGGAUAAUUCCUUCGGACCAAAGAUUUAUCGACUUUGGAUGGGCCCGCGUUGGAUUAGCUAGUUGGUAGUGUAAAAGCCUACCAAGGCGACGAUCCAUAGCUGGUCUGAGAGGAUGAUCAGCCACACUGGGACUGAGACACGGCCCAGACUACUACGGGAGGAAGCAGUGGGGAAUAAUGGAAAAUGGGGGAAAGACUGAAAAAGCAAUGACGCGUGAGUGAUGAAGGCAUUAGGGUUGUAAAGCUCUUUUACACGGGAAGAUAAUGACAGUACCGGGAGAAUAAGCACCGGCUAACUCCGUG